UACGUAGGGUGCAAGCGUUGUCCGGAAUUAUUGGGCGUAAAGAGCUCGUAGGCGGUUUGUCGCGUCUGCUGUGAAAAUCCAGGGCUUAACCCUGGACCUGCAGUGGGUACGGGCAGACUGGAGUGCGGUAGGGGAGAUCGGAAUUCCUGGUGUAGCGGUGAAAUGCGCAGAUAUCAGGAGGAACACCGGUGGCGAAGGCGGAUCUCUGGGCAUUAACUGACGCUGAGGAGCGAAAGCAUGGGGAGCGAACAGG
rnacentral:rRNA from 1 species